rnacentral:rRNA from 1 species
AUUGAACGCUGGCGGCAGGCCUAACACAUGCAAGUCGAACGAGUGGCGGACGGGUGAGUAAUGUCUGGGAAACUGCCCGAUGGAGGGGGAUAACUCCUGGCAACGGUAGCUAAUACCGCAUACCAUCGGAUGUGCCCAGAUGGGAUUAGCUAGUUGGUGGGGUAACGGCUCACCAAGGCGGCGAUCCCUAGCUGGUCUGAGAGGAGGAACAGCCACACUGGAACUGAGACACGGUCCAGACUCCUACGGGAGGCAGCAGUGGGGAAUAUUGCACAAUGGGCGCAAGCCUGAUGCAGCCAUGCCGCGUGUAUGAAGAAGGCCUUCGGGUUGUAAAGUACUUUCAGCGGGGAGGCGUUACCCGCAGAAGAAGCACCGGCUAACUCCGUGCCAGCAGCCGCGGUAAUAC